rnacentral:rRNA from 1 species
CCCUUAGAGUUUGAUCCUGGCUCAGGACGAACGCUAGCGGCAUGCUUAACACAUGCAAGUCGAACGAGAAAGCUUCUUCGGAAGUGAUUAAAGUGGCGCACGGGUGAGUAACGCGUAGACAAUCUGCCCUUCAGUCCGGGACAACUUUCCGAAAGGGGAGCUAAUACCGGAUAACAAUGUUUAACAUAAGUUAAAUAUUUGAAAGCUCCGGCGCUGAUGGAUGAGUCUGCGUCCCAUUAGCUUGUUGGUGCGGUAGCGGCGCACCAAGGCCGCGAUGGGUAGCGGGUUUGAGAGGACGAUCCGCCACACUGGAACUGAGACACGGUCCAGACUCCUACGGGAGGCAGCAGUGGGGAAUAUUGCACAAUGGAGGAAACUCUGAUGCAGCAAUGCCGCGUGAGUGAAGAAGGCCCUUGGGUCGUAAAGCUCUUUUAUGGGGGAAGAUGAUGACGGUACCCCAAGAAUAAGCACCGGCUAACUACGUGCCAGCAGCCGCGGUAAUACGUAGGGUGCGAGCGUUGUUCGGAAUUACUGGGCGUAAAGGGCGCGCAGGCGGAGGUGUAAGUCGGAGGUGAAAGCCCGGGGCUCAACCCCGGAGGGUCUUUCGAAACUGCAUCUCUAGAGAGGGUCAGGGGCCGGCAGAAUUCCUGGUGUAGAGGUGAAAUUCGUAGAUAUCAGGAGGAAUACCGGUGGCGAAAGCGGCCGGCUGGGGCCACUCUGACGCUGAGGCGCGAAAGCGUGGGGAGCAAACAGGAUUAGAUACCCUGGUAGUCCACGCCGUAAACGAUGAGCACUGGACGUUCGGAGGGUUCGACCCUUCUGGGUGUUUCAGCUAACGCAUUAAGUGCUCCGCC